CGAUCUUGGAGCGGAGGAUGAUGAAGAAGGGCGAUGCACCGGUUGUGCAACUCCGUGUCCAGUGGGCAAACAUGCCAACUUCAGCCACCACUUGGGAAGAUUACACCGUUCUUCGCCAACGCUAUCCAUCAGCCUGCAUCUGGGAAGGAGCUUCAUCUCAAGGGGAGGACAAUGUCGCGCCUACUGAUGCAUCAGUGGCGGACUGAACUAGUGCAGUCAGUUAGCUGAACUGCAACGCUAGUGUGUGUGUGGGCUUGGGGCCCGUAUAUGGUGUGGGCCGGAGGCCAUGUAAGGGUAAGCCCAGGAAGGGGCGGCUACUUAUGUACGAAACACUAAGGAGAAAGGCAGCGUGUGAUUGAUUGAACCUUCUUUCCCCUUCUCUACGUCUCUCACCUACUCUCUUCUCUCUUCCUCAUCCCCAAUUCCCGAUCGAGAUCCGUCUGGGCAUUACAUGCCUGUCCCCUUCUUCUACAGGAUCAGCCAUGGCCACCGGCCGCCGCGCCGCCCACCACGACGAGCUGCUCAGCACUCUCCUCGCCGCCGCGGGCAACGGCCGGGAGGAGGAGGAGGACGCGCGGGAGGCGCGGCAGCAUCAGAAUCAACGCGUCGAAUCCGGCCUCGGCUUACGGCGACACGGACGUGGAUGCUCUGGCUGCGACCGCCGUGCUCUAUGCCCCGACCCUGCUCGCCGAGUCCGUCCGACCUGCUGAUCUCGCCGGCCAGCGACGGGAGGAGGGUGGCAAGCUGAGCCGGAGGAGAGCGAGGCGUCCACGUUACUUUAAGUGCAAAGCAGAGAAACACACACACACUCAGGCACGAGCACAAGCUCUCCUCGCCUAUGGGUACGGCGCCGCCGCCGCCAUGCGCGGCCGCGCGGAGCGGAGGCCGUGAUGGCAAGGCAGCCCUUUGGAGUCGCUCCUCCCUGACCAGGCCCAACCCCGCUCCACCAGCUCGACCUCCUAUUUCCUUCCCAAUGCCGGGCACUGCCCGCUCUCCUCUCUGAUUUCCGGCAUGGAAAACCCUCUUCUCCGACUUUCGGCCUCUCCCCAACCUCUGGCCGGUGCUGCGGGACAUAUACAACAUCUGCCCUCCAUGCCAUUGCAACUUCCAGCCUCGACGUCCAUCGCCUUCUCUAGAUCCAGCGGCCAUCUGCACGGCUGCACGCCAACUGUUCGGUCAAUUGACCCAACAGACACGAGGUAUUUUUCUUUUUUUUGUUCCUUUGGUGUUCCAUCCAGCACUAAUGUGAAGGUCUUGGUUCAGAUGCUACUCAUGUUCUGUACAUUCUAAUUGAUUAUAUUAGCCUAGAGAAUGGAGAGAAAGAGGAGAAGUUGUCUUCAGCACCAUACUGAACUAUUGAAGCAACAGGAAGAUGAGUGUAUCAUGCAAGAGGAGAUCCUGGCCGCCGUCCUGUGCCUCGGCGACCAGUAUGACCAUGUCCUCGCGUGCCUCCUGCUGGUUGAUCCGGUGCCAGCAACUGUCAUCUUCCCAAAAUUUAACUGGACAUUUGAAUGUUCUUAAUUUUUUUUCUUCUGAAAUGAACAUAGCUGUGAGUUUUUUUUAUGGUGAAAUCAAGUUCUGACGGAAUUUACAAUAUACUUUGUAUUGUUGUUUUUUAGGUCUUACACACCUCAUGUACCCAGGGCCAUCCACACCCAUUUUGACCGUUCAUUAGAUGUUUAUCGGCUAGCAGGGGAGGCCAUGAACAAUCUUUAAAAAAACCCAGGUGCAAGUGCUGAGUUACAACGCGACAUCGAGGACACAAAAGCCAGUAUGUUUGAGCUAAGGGAACGAGCUAGGGACAGUACCACCCGGCUGCCCCAGCACUUAAGCUGACUGUCCAAUUCCACUUUCAUCCAUGGAAGCUGCGGUUUAAUUCUCAGGUUUGGCAACCUUUUCUCUCUACGGCUGAGUGUUGUAGUCCUGUCAAAUGAAGCAGUGUUGUUUUUGCAAUAUAGAACAGAUAUAUAAGGUGCUUCCAAUUUCUUAAUCCCAGAAUUGACGAGACCUUAUUUAGUUUGGACUCAUAAUAAUGUGUCAAUUAGAAAUAGAGCAUUGUCAUUAUCCUGACGGAUGGAUGUAUAUCAUAUGUUCUCUUGCGUUGUAUUUUGGUGAGAAAAAAGGAGAAAUAUGAGAGGAACAGAGAGAGCAGAGAGAGAGGCACACAUCACUGAACCCUUUUGGAUUCUAAUGCAAGGUUGGAUAAUAUGAAGUUUUUUGGCUUAUCGUUGCACCUCACGUUUCCGACCUCGCGUGGCUGUACACUUCUCGUACUCGACUGUUCGCCGGAACUUUGUAUGACCUGAGGUACAUACUGCAGUGUCAUCAAUUUGCAUCUGUCAUCAAAGACUACUUUUAUCUAUCAUUUAAAUUGCCACGAGUAUUUGAAAUUCAUUCUUCUUACUUUUUCAGAUAAUAUAGUAUAUACUAAUUUUGUUCAAGUAUAUACUACUUUUUAUCACUUUUACUUUUUCUCACCGGAUGCAUGCAUGCUUCUCCUCACAGGUUUCCCUUGGUUCAGUACUUAAUUUUUUUGGUGUAUACUUUCUCCUCGGCAGUGAAGUAUAUGUACGACAAGACAGAAAGAAACAUAUACUGUUGAUCGAUACUGAAACACACCAUACAGAAAGGCCCUCUCUUCUAUACCCCUUUGCGAAAAAUAGUAUACUAUCAUUUGAAAAGAAAACACACCAUACACUCCUUUGUGACAAUGAGUAUACACUGAUCGUUAUUGCCAGUAUCAUAGGUAUAUACUCUGAGAAUAGUUGUAUAUAUCCCAUUUGAAAAAAUAGUAUGUAUAUACUCCUUGCAAACUACUCCAUAUCGUUUAAUUGUUUUUACAUAAGACUAUCCGUCGAGAUACAAUAACUAAUUAGUAUUUUAAUAACUUGAAUUGCAUGGCUUGAUCGCUCUGCUUGGGUCUUCUCUUAUGUAUGAGUGCACCAUGUGCGGGUUAAUUUUUUUGGGUCUUCUAACUCUCUGGGAUAAUUUGCAUCUCUAUUUGUGCUAAUUGGCAAGGUGCAUGAAUAAUGAUUUAUCAAAGGUUUUUUGCUUAAUGGAAAGGCCUUUUCAGUUAAAAAACCCUACUGAUUUGAUCAACAGAAUAUGCCUCUGUUUUUAAAUAGCAGUAGUUCCUCUCAACUUCUACUUAUUUAAUUGACUAUUUUGGUGUCAAGAUCCAAUAGCCUUGCUGUUAGUUAAUGCUAUUUAUAUUUUCUUCCAACAAAGUGUUUACGGCCAAAACACUCGUCAUUUCCAUCAAAAACAAUGGCUCGCUCCCGCCAGGCCGCAGCAAAAGUUUUGGCCGGUCCCAUAAAAAAUAGUUCCAGCAAAAAAGAUUGUUGUCCCGGUCAUAGGUAUUGUAUGAUUCCACUCUACUCCUCUGUAGUUAUUUGGCUGAAGAUGUGCAUUAGUGGUUGGCUGUGAUAAUACAUAUAGUAAGAUUGCAUGUUAUGCUUAGCAGAGCUUAGCGGAAAUUUGCUAGAGGAGUUGCAACAGCCUUGAUCAAAUAUUAUUUUCAUUAUUCCUUCUUGGUUUUAGAUAAUCUUCAUCGAAAUUUGCUAGAGAAGUUGCAACAGCUUUGGUCAAAUAUUAUUUUUAUUAUUCUUUGUUGGGUUUAGACAAUAAAGUAGAGAAUCAAAAUCCUUCUACUAUAUGUGUACCUGUAAUAGAGCAACGCUUGUUGCAGCUAGCUGCAGGAAGGACCAACUUGACUUGAUGGGGAUACAAUCACCAAGAAAGAUUCAUACCUGAACUUACCUUUAUGCAUUGCACGAACUACCAAGAUAUUGUAUCUUCCUGUAUGAUCCAUAACUCAUAGACACAUGAGUAGCGAUGGGAUACUAUUUGGUAUGAACAACAUCAUCGUGUUGCAAUUCUAACAUGUAUUCAUUGAACUUAUUUAUCCACAUAAUAGUGAUGCAUCUUACGUAUCUGUCUA